GCGCCCUUGAGACGGAGCACUUGAGACGGAGCUAUAGGUCCGGCCUCGAAGCAGUAUCUCUACAGUUAUGGUGAAGGAGUGGAAUAAUGACCACAUAAAAAAACUUAUUGAAUUGUACCGCGAAAGACCAUGUUUGUGGAAAAUCACCCAUGAACAUUACCCCAACAAAAACAUAAAAAAUCGAGCGUACGCAGAGAUUCUUCAAAAACUUUUAGACGAUGUUCCAACUGUGGACCAGAUUAUAAUAAAAAUGAGGACACAAAAUUUGAGAUCCACGUACAGAAAGGAGCUAAGGAAGGUGAAGCCCUCUGAAAGACGCGGAGAAGGGGAAGAUGAAUGAUAUGAACCAUCAUUAUGAAGACCGAGAAUGCCCUCUCCCGAGGUUAUCAGAAGGGAAAUGAGGAGGGGCUUGUUGUUGUUGAUCCAAUGCCAGACAGCAGAAAUGAAGAAAGUAGAAAACAAAGGAGACAGAAAAACACAAUCGAACGAUGAGUAUUUCAUUAAAGUCAGUUUAUUUCUGAAAUGCACUACAAUAUGUCCAUAUACUACCUUUAUAUCUUCAACCAUGUAGCACCUUAAACUACAGAUAAUCUUGUAGGUAGCUUAUUCAUAAUUAACACAUGGGAAAGCGCAAAGUUAAGCUGUUGAUUUUAUUUAUCAUUUCAUCCUGCCAAGGCACUUUUCCUUAUACUGCUCUCAAUCGUUUACGGCGUUCACAACAAGUAACUGAGCUACGGUGGCGGGCUCUAGUGGUACAAAUUCAUUUUCAUUGGCAUCUCUCCACGAACCAGGCUCUAUUGCAUGAGUGACUGGAUUUUCUCGGUCAACAGCCUGAGGAUUGCAGUAGCCUGUGCUCGAACGCAUAAAAAAUUAUGUAAAGUGCACAAAGCAAUAAUAACAUACGGUAUUUAACCGUACGAGAAUCGAUGUUAAUGCUUGUGUAUAGGAGACGAAACUAGACACAGUCAGCUCAGAAGGAUUUCCUACAACAUUUCAUGCACGUGAUAAUCUGUAGAUGAAAACACUUCGUUCUUGGUUGAGAUUCUGCUGAGCCUAUGGUUUCAAAAUGUUGAUAUGCAAAGCAGAUACUGCGUCUUCGGAAAGUGCGAAUGUUAUUCCUUCGACCGUCUCUUCCCUGGUUGGUAACUUUAAUGUUCCCGAUUGUAAGCGUUCAUGAAACGUUGUAGCUUCAAAGACACUUCCUGGUUUUUCCACGUCAACAAAUACAAACUCCAGUCAGCGUUAACAACAGCCAUUAAAACGAUACUAUAAAACUUGUGAUAAUUGUAAUAUAACUCUGCACAAUUUCUUGGUUUCGCAAUUCUGAUGUGUUUCCCAACAAUGCAUCCCCACAGUUUAUCGUGUGCCAAUUCUUCGUUAACUUGUGUGCAUCUUUUUUCCAUUCGUUUUGGUCUGUAAUAUCUGCAACAGGAAAGGUAUUCAAAAGUAUGCUUUACAGUCUCAUACACGUCUUUCUUUCAGUUUUUCAGAGAACCACAGACGAAGAAGAAGCAAACUAGAGAGACAUUGAAAGACUUGGUCAUGUUCAUGAAAAUAUGCACUGCAGCCCUCAACAGUCAACCGACAAUUGCGGACUACUGUGCUGCACUUGGGAACUAUGUUUCGGUAAAAAUGCGUAAAAUGGACGAAAUUCUGCAAAUACUUGCUAAGGCGGUAAUACAAAAGGUCGUAACUCGGGUAAUGAACAAUCAACGCACAGAUAACACAGAUCUGUACGAAUCAACAGCUCCACAAGUGUUUGCGUUUCCUCACAUCCCGACUACUCACAAUUCAUCCAGUGCAUCUUAUGGUUCAUCCCAUACCGCACAACUGACUUCUUCGUCAAAAGAUAGCUACUCCAGUUCCGGGUGUCAGUGAAAAAGUUUACUUA